rnacentral:rRNA from 1 species
CACGAACGCUGGCGGCAGGCUUAACACAUGCAAGUCGAGCGCCCCGCAAGGGGAGCGGCAGACGGGUGAGUAACGCGUGGGAAUCUACCCAUCUCUACGGAAUAACGCAUGGAAACGUGUGCUAAUACCGUAUACGUCCUUCGGGAGAAAGAUUUAUCGGAGAUGGAUGAGCCCGCGUUGGAUUAGCUAGUUGGUGGGGUAAAGGCCUACCAAGGCGACGAUCCAUAGCUGGUCUGAGAGGAUGAUCAGCCACACUGGGACUGAGACACGGCCCAGACUCCUACGGGAGGCAGCAGUGGGGAAGAUUGGACAAUGUGCGCAAGCCUGAUCCAGCCAUGCCGCGUGAGUGAUGAAGGCCGUAGGGUUGUAAAGCUCUUUCACCGGUGAAGAUAAUGACGGUAACCGGAGAAGAAGCCCCGGCUAACUUCGUACAGCCGCCGCGGUAACAC